UACGUAGGUGACAAGCGUUGUCCGGAUUUACUGGGCGUAAAGAGCGCGCAGGCGGUCGAUCAAGUCGAGUGUGAAAGCCCCCGGCUCAACUGGGGAGGGUCAUUCGAUACUGAUCGACUCGAAGGCAGGAGAGGGUAGUGGAAUUCCCGGUGUAGUGGUGAAAUGCGUAGAUAUCGGGAGGAACACCAGUGGCGAAGGCGACUACCUGGCCUGUUCUUGACGCUGAGGCGCGAAAGCUAGGGGAUCAAACGGG
rnacentral:rRNA from 1 species